rnacentral:snRNA from 1 species
ACACUACGGCAGCACAUAUACUAAAAUUGGAUCAAUUUAGAUAGGAUUAGCAUGGCCCCUGCAAAAGGAUGACACGCAAAUCCAUGAAGCGCUUGGGGCAGUC